AUGAUGUUUCAAAACAAGCUAUAUAAGGAAAAAGUAGGUCUGAGAUCCUGCUGUGCCCAUGCCAGGAGGUCCCAGGUUUGUUCCAAGCUUAUGGCCCAGAUUUGGUUUCAGCAAUCAUCUAAGGGAAGUUGGCUCUUUCCUGCCUGUGCCUGGCCCACACCAGCACAAAGAAGGAUGAAGAGCAUGGAGUUUGCUGGAGGCAGAAACCUCUCCAAGGUGUGGAUCUGCUGCAUGUGCCCAUCCGGAAUUUUAAGAGACAUCCUGACCUCCUCAUUCCAGCUCACUUUGAGGAACUGGGGCUCUGCUGUGUGCUCCCUCACGGUCUGGUCCCUGUGUUAGGGAGGAUCCAGUGAGCAAUGGGUUGGAUGGAGUCAUCACAUUCACAAUAGCUCUUCAUUUUCUUGUGUCCAGGAAGGAUGUGAGUAUAGUUACACAGAGAUUUCCAGUGGGGCUCCUCCAUGGUUCUGGGCCCUCUAGGGCUGUCUGCUGGGAGGCUGCUGUGCUAGUGCUGCUUGCCUGGUGCAGCCUUCCCUGGGCUGGAAGCUGCUCUGAUCUCAAUGUACUUGUUCUUGUAUGGGUGGAGGUAUGAAAACCUCUGAAACAACCUGAUCUCUAUACACCAGCCUGUGCAAUUACAAGCCCCCCAGUACCUUGUGCAAUUGAGAAUCCAGCCCCAAAUCUGACCCCAGUGCCCACUUCUGAGCUUUUUUCCUCCUCCCUUAUAUUUUCACCCCCCCCCCCAGCUUACAUGAAACCUUGGUGAGAUCCUUUAGCACCAUCACAUCCCUUCCAGAUACACGGGGCUUGUACCAAUGGUUUAACACUGGGGCCAUUCUAUUGAACUGCCCUCUGUGUUAACUGAGAGCAGGACCCAUCCUGGGAGACACCACUUAGUUAAUUAUAUAAACCAGCAACCUCUGAGCCAGGAGUGAAAACAAGAGCUAAAAGGAGAACAGCCUCUGUCCCUGCUGUGCUUCGGCUCCCUAUGCUUUGGUUCUGUAGCUGCCCAGCGGGGCUGAGCUCCUCCCAGCAGCUCAGGGUAGGCUCUGUUUUCCCUAACACCCAGUGCUAUUCCAAAUAUUAUGGUAUGCCUUUCUUUUCUUUAAAGAAAAGGUGCUAAAAUAAAAACAGGGCUGAAAGAAAAACA
rnacentral:lncRNA from 1 species